UACGUAGGGUGCAAGCGUUGUCCGGAAUUAUUGGGCGUAAAGCGCGUGUAGGCGGCUUGGUAAGUCCGUUCUGAAAGCCCGGGGCUCAACCCCGGGAGGCGGAUGGAUACUGUCAAGCUUGAGUCCGGAAGAGGCGAGUGGAAUUCCCGGUGUAGCGGUGAAAUGCGCAGAUAUCGGGAGGAACACCAAUGGCGAAGGCAGCUCGCUGGGACGUGACUGACGCUGAGACGCGAAAGCGUGGGAGCAAACAGG
rnacentral:rRNA from 1 species